rnacentral:rRNA from 1 species
GGCUUAAUUUGCUCAACGCGGGAAAACUCACCCGGCCCGGACACCGUAAGGAUUGACAGAUUGAGAGCUCUUUCUUGAUUCGGUGGGUGGUGGUGCAUGGCCGUUCUUAGUUGGUGGAUUGAUUUGUCUGGUUUAUUCCGAUAACGAACGAGACUCCAACCUACUAAAUAGUGGUCGAAUCUUUUCGUUCGAAUCACUUCUUAGAGGGACAAGCAGUGUUUAGCUGCAUGAGAAGGAGCAAUAACAGGUCUGUGAUGCCC